rnacentral:rRNA from 1 species
CAGCCGCCGCGGUAAUACGGAGGGUGCAAGCGUUAAUCGGAAUUACUGGGCGUAAAGCGCACGCAGGCGGUCUGACAAGUCAGAUGUGAAAUCCCCGGGCUUAACCUGGGAACUGCAUUUGAAACUGUCAGGCAGGAGUCUUGUAGAGGGGGGUGGAAUUCCAGGUGUAGCGGUGAAAUGCGUAGAGAUCUGGAGGAAUACCGGUGGCGAAGGCGGCCCCCUGGACAAAGACUGACGCUCAGGUGCGAAAGCGUGGGGAGCAAACAGGAUUAGAUACCCCGGUAGUCCCUGUCUCUUAUAC